rnacentral:lncRNA from 1 species
CUGCCCGCUAGACAUGUACACCUUACUAUCAUUCCAUACAACAAAUAUAGUAGACCUAUUGCAUAAAGUAUGAGAACAACAGACCAAAACACAAAAAUUCAACUAUAAACACUGAACCAUGAAAAUGAGGUCAAGGUCAGAUGACACCUGCCAGUUGGACAUGUACACCUUACAGUCCUUCUAUACACCGAAUAUACUAGCCCUAUUGCUUAUAGUAUCUGAGAUAUGGACUUGACCA